GGGUUGUGAGGUUAAGCGACUAAGCGUACACGGUGGAUGCCCUGGCAGUCAGAGGCGAUGAAGGACGUGCUAAUCUGCGAUAAGCGUCGGUAAGGUGAUAUGAACCGUUAUAACCGGCGAUUUCCGAAUGGGGAAACCCAGUGUGAUUCGUCACACUAUCAUUAACUGAAUCCAUAGGUUAAUGAGGCGAACCGGGGGAACUGAAACAUCUAAGUACCCCGAGGAAAAGAAAUCAACCGAGAUUCCCCCAGUAGCGGCGAGCGAACGGGGAGCAGCCCAGAGCCUGAAUCAGUGUGUGUGUUAGUGGAAGCGUCUGGAAAGGCGCGCGAUACAGGGUGACAGCCCCGUACACAAAAAUGCACAUGCUGUGAGCUCGAUGAGUAGGGCGGGACACGUGGUAUCCUGUCUGAAUAUGGGGGGACCAUCCUCCAAGGCUAAAUACUCCUGACUGACCGAUAGUGAACCAGUACCGUGAGGGAAAGGCGAAAAGAACCCCGGCGAGGGGAGUGAAAAAGAACCUGAAACCGUGUACGUACAAGCAGUGGGAGCACGCUUAGGCGUGUGACUGCGUACCUUUUGUAUAAUGGGUCAGCGACUUAUAUUCUGUAGCAAGGUUAACCGAAUAGGGGAGCCGAAGGGAAACCGAGUCUUAACUGGGCGUUAAGUUGCAGGGUAUAGACCCGAAACCCGGUGAUCUAGCCAUGGGCAGGUUGAAGGUUGGGUAACACUAACUGGAGGACCGAACCGACUAAUGUUGAAAAAUUAGCGGAUGACUUGUGGCUGGGGGUGAAAGGCCAAUCAAACCGGGAGAUAGCUGGUUCUCCCCGAAAGCUAUUUAGGUAGCGCCUCGUGAAUUCAUCUCCGGGGGUAGAGCACUGUUUCGGCAAGGGGGUCAUCCCGACUUACCAACCCGAUGCAAACUACGAAUACCGGAGAAUGUUAUCACGGGAGACACACGGCGGGUGCUAACGUCCGUCGUGAAGAGGGAAACAACCCAGACCGCCAGCUAAGGUCCCAAAGUCAUGGUUAAGUGGGAAACGAUGUGGGAAGGCCCAGACAGCCAGGAUGUUGGCUUAGAAGCAGCCAUCAUUUAAAGAAAGCGUAAUAGCUCACUGGUCGAGUCGGCCUGCGCGGAAGAUGUAACGGGGCUAAACCAUGCACCGAAGCUGCGGCAGCGACGCUUAUGCGUUGUUGGGUAGGGGAGCGUUCUGUAAGCCUGCGAAGGUGUGCUGUGAGGCAUGCUGGAGGUAUCAGAAGUGCGAAUGCUGACAUAAGUAACGAUAAAGCGGGUGAAAAGCCCGCUCGCCGGAAGACCAAGGGUUCCUGUCCAACGUUAAUCGGGGCAGGGUGAGUCGACCCCUAAGGCGAGGCCGAAAGGCGUAGUCGAUGGGAAACAGGUUAAUAUUCCUGUACUUGGUGUUACUGCGAAGGGGGGACGGAGAAGGCUAUGUUGGCCGGGCGACGGUUGUCCCGGUUUAAGCGUGUAGGCUGGUUUUCCAGGCAAAUCCGGAAAAUCAAGGCUGAGGCGUGAUGACGAGGCACUACGGUGCUGAAGCAACAAAUGCCCUGCUUCCAGGAAAAGCCUCUAAGCAUCAGGUAACAUCAAAUCGUACCCCAAACCGACACAGGUGGUCAGGUAGAGAAUACCAAGGCGCUUGAGAGAACUCGGGUGAAGGAACUAGGCAAAAUGGUGCCGUAACUUCGGGAGAAGGCACGCUGAUAUGUAGGUGAAGUCCCUCGCGGAUGGAGCUGAAAUCAGUCGAAGAUACCAGCUGGCUGCAACUGUUUAUUAAAAACACAGCACUGUGCAAACACGAAAGUGGACGUAUACGGUGUGACGCCUGCCCGGUGCCGGAAGGUUAAUUGAUGGGGUUAGCGCAAGCGAAGCUCUUGAUCGAAGCCCCGGUAAACGGCGGCCGUAACUAUAACGGUCCUAAGGUAGCGAAAUUCCUUGUCGGGUAAGUUCCGACCUGCACGAAUGGCGUAAUGAUGGCCAGGCUGUCUCCACCCGAGACUCAGUGAAAUUGAACUCGCUGUGAAGAUGCAGUGUACCCGCGGCAAGACGGAAAGACCCCGUGAACCUUUACUAUAGCUUGACACUGAACAUUGAGCCUUGAUGUGUAGGAUAGGUGGGAGGCUUUGAAGUGUGGACGCCAGUCUGCAUGGAGCCGACCUUGAAAUACCACCCUUUAAUGUUUGAUGUUCUAACGUUGACCCGUAAUCCGGGUUGCGGACAGUGUCUGGUGGGUAGUUUGACUGGGGCGGUCUCCUCCUAAAGAGUAACGGAGGAGCACGAAGGUUGGCUAAUCCUGGUCGGACAUCAGGAGGUUAGUGCAAUGGCAUAAGCCAGCUUGACUGCGAGCGUGACGGCGCGAGCAGGUGCGAAAGCAGGUCAUAGUGAUCCGGUGGUUCUGAAUGGAAGGGCCAUCGCUCAACGGAUAAAAGGUACUCCGGGGAUAACAGGCUGAUACCGCCCAAGAGUUCAUAUCGACGGCGGUGUUUGGCACCUCGAUGUCGGCUCAUCACAUCCUGGGGCUGAAGUAGGUCCCAAGGGUAUGGCUGUUCGCCAUUUAAAGUGGUACGCGAGCUGGGUUUAGAACGUCGUGAGACAGUUCGGUCCCUAUCUGCCGUGGGCGCUGGAGAAUUGAGGGGGGCUGCUCCUAGUACGAGAGGACCGGAGUGGACGCAUCACUGGUGUUCGGGUUGUCAUGCCAAUGGCACUGCCCGGUAGCUAAAUGCGGAAGAGAUAAGUGCUGAAAGCAUCUAAGCACGAAACUUGCCCCGAGAUGAGUUCUCCCUGACUCCUUGAGAGUCCUGAAGGAACGUUGAAGACGACGACGUUGAUAGGCCGGGUGUGUAAGCGCAGCGAUGCGUUGAGCUAACCGGUACUAAUGAACCGUGAGGCUUAACCUUACAACGCCGAAG
rnacentral:rRNA from 2 species